CUACGGGGUGCUGCCGUGAGGAAUAUUGCACAAUGGGGGAAACCCUGAUGCAGCAACGCCGCGUGGAGGAUGACGCAUUUCGGUGUGUAAACUCCUUUUAUAUGUCAAGAAAAUGACGGUAGCAUAUGAAUAAGCACCGGCUAACUCCGUGCCAGCAGCCGCGGUAAUACGGAGGGUGCAAGCGUUACUCGGGAUCACUGGGCGUAAAGGACGCGUAGGCGGGUUGGAAAGUCAGGUGUGAAAUCCUACAGCUUAACUGUAGAACUGCACUUGAAACUUCUAAUCUAGAGUAUGGGAGGGGGAGAUGGAAUUAGUGGUGUAGGGGUAAAAUCCGUAGAUAUCACUAGGAAUACCUAAAGCGAAGGCGAUCUCCUGGAACAUUACUGACGCUAAGGCGUGAAAGCGUGGGGAGCAAACAGGAUUAGAUACCCCAGUAGUC
rnacentral:rRNA from 1 species